AAGAAAGAGUUGACACAUCGAUACUUAACACUUUUUAAAAAUAUUCAUCAUGUCGAUUGCUAUUUUUUAAAAAUUAAAAGUUCCGUCUAUUCAUCUAGCGCAAUCACUUUCAAGUUAUGAUCUUUAUCACAUAAGUAGUUUCAGUAUUGAAAAAAGUUAAGUCUGAGAAGCAUUAGUCUUGAGAAGCAAGUGUACUCUGUAAGCGCGUGCAUUGAAAUGAAUUUACGGCGCUAAAAAAGGAGAAACGCGCCUGCGUGAGUUUUCUGUAAACUUUAUGAGAAAAAAUACACCUGUCAAAUUACCUUUCGCGUAAAUCGAUAACAAAUAUGUAUAGUCAAUAUUAUUUCAGAAAAUUACAUAAAAAAUUAUAAAAGAAAAAGUAAGAAUAAGAGUGUAUGGAAUAUUUAAUCAAUUAGUAAAAAACGAAAUGAAUUUUACGGUAUCUUCAGUUUUCGUAAUCAGUAACGCUUAGAAACUCGCAGAGAAAUGAUACCUUCGAUAACUCAGUAUUACAAUCUCAAUAAAAUUCUUUUAAUUGUUAUCGGUUUAUGGCCUUAUCAACAAUCGACAUUUACUCGAUUACAGUCUAUUUUCUUCUUUCUUAUUGUGACGGCAGGUAUUAUUUUUCAGCUGACUCCAUUAAUAUUAUUAAAAUGUUCUACAGAUCUUAUUGUCAAAGUGCUGUCUUCCGUAGUUUUGUACAUAUUGUUCUUAGUAAAUUAUUACGCUUUCCGUUUAAACAUUGAAGUUGUGAAGAAUUUAAUGAUGGACCUUCAACGUGCAUUUAAUAAGUUAAAGGAUAAAAAUGAAAUUGCUAUUUUAGAGAAAUACAGUUGUAUAGCGAAACGUUACACAAUAGUAAUCACAGCAGGUGGAAUUUGCAUAAUAUUUAUUAGUAUUGUAACUCAAUUUGUGUCAAAAACAAUUGUUUUUGUGGUAUCGAUGAAUGUGUCUCAACCAUAUGAAUUCCUCAUUUUGAUGAAGUAUUUCAUCGAUCAAGAAAAAUAUUUUUAUCUAAUUGUGUUGCAUAUAUAUGCAGGAAUAUGUUUCGGAACCGUUUCAGUAGUAUCAGUAGGUACAAUGAUCAAUACGUAUCUUCAACAUAUGUGUGGAAUGUUUAGAAUCGCUAGUUAUCGUAUUGAGCAUGCAGUGAGCAUCAACAUUAAACAAAACAUAACACUAGAAAAUAAAAAUUUAAUGAUUGAGGGCAUAGUUUGUGGCGUUGAUAUUCACCGACAAGCUAUGAAAUUAACAAAACAGUUGGUGUCCGCAUUCGAGAUAAUGUUAUGUUGUUUAAUAGUAGCUGAAGUGCUGUUCUUGGUCCUUAACCUAUUUCAAAUUAUAGUGAAUAAAAAUACUUUUGAGGAAUUGUGUCCCCACAUUUGCUGUGUAUUUGUCUCUCUCACAUAUUUGUUUAUAUUCAACUAUGUCGGGCAGGAUGUAGAGGAUCACAAUAAUCGCAUAUUUUCUACAGCGUAAGAAAUUUUUCAUGAGAGAGAGAUAAAAUAUAUAAAAGUUCAUUCUUUAAAAGAAUGACGUCGAAUAUAAAAAUUAACUGCUGCAUAACAAACAUACGUACAACGUACAGUGGUACAAAGCCCCAAUUCAUGUUCAGAAGAUGAUAUUAUUCUUGUUACAAAAAGAAACCAUGAAAUUUAAUCUGAAUAUUGGUCGAUUAUUCAACACAUCUAUAGAAUCUUUUGCCGUGCUUGUUAAGGUCUCAAUAUCUUACUGUACUGCACUAUAUUCUACGCAAUGACAAAGCAAUAAGUUUAAUAACAGUAUAGUGAGAUAAUAAUUAAUAGAAAAGCAACAAUAUUUAUGCUUAGAAAGUAGGAUUAAUUUUAUGAAAAUACAGUUUAGUUUCUAGAGAAAA